CGGGGAUUUGCAGGCAAGUGGUCUCCAUUUCAGUUUCCGAGCCGUGACUCACUGGCUGCAGUGUUUCCAGACCCCCGCCCCCCUCCUGCACGGGCAGCCCAGUGAACUCAUCCUCCAGAUCCAUAAGGGAACAUGUACGAGCAUGGUCACCACAGGUUGCUGUGGAAGCAGGAGGUGGAGGUAACCUCGGUGGAGACAAGUAAAGAGCUCAGCCACUGCCGGAGAGGAAGCUGGAGGACAUGAACAAAGCAGCCAGGAAGGCCCCGCUCCUGCUGUGGGUGCCAAGGAUGGAGCUUACACGCGGGAGUCGAGAACCGGGAUCACGGCUAUUCUUCCCAGGGAUCCCAGUUUCCCCAGGUUACAAGCAAGGAGGGAGGCCCAUUAAUGGUAAGAACUAACAUCUCACUGUCUCUCUCCUCUGCUCAGGAAGGACCUCAGCGUCAACCCCCCAGGUAUUUCUGGGAGUUGUUCCCAUAGACUCAGCCCAUGGUCUGUGGGGAAGGGGCCCCCUCCUGUCUGGGACUGUCCAAGGUUCCCCCUGCCACACUGCUUCCAGAUUUUGUUCG